CAACAUUUCCCCUACAAUACCCACUUCAUGUGCAACGAAAAAAUUCCCCUACAUCAAUGAUACAAAAUUCGUUUGAUGAGAUAUUUAUUUAUAUAACUUAGAAUUGUCAAACAUCCUUCAGCAUACUUAGGAUUUUCGAGUAACCUUCUUUGAUUGCCAACAUCCGGCAUACUUAUAAAUUUUAUCAACUAACCUUCUUU
rnacentral:lncRNA from 1 species